rnacentral:rRNA from 1 species
UACGGAGGGUGCAAGCGUUAUCCGGAUUCACUGGGUUUAAAGGGUGCGUAGGCGGGCAAGUAAGUCAGUGGUGAAAUCUCCGGGCUUAACUCGGAAACUGCCAUUGAUACUAUUUGUCUUGAAUACUGUGGAGGUCAGCGGAAUAUGUCAUGUAGCGGUGAAAUGCUUAGAUAUGACAUAGAACACCAAUUGCGAAGGCAGCUGGCUACACAAAUAUUGACGCUGAGGCACGAAAGCGUGGGGAUCAAAC